rnacentral:lncRNA from 1 species
UAAGGCUAAAAAGAUUCUUAAUAAAGUGUAGCCUAAAAUAACGCCUAUCUUAAUGGCUUCUAAUUAAUCACUGAUUUUCUACCAAUUAAAGGUGAAAUCUUCCGUUAUAGCUGUGCAUCCAGAACUUUUAUUUCUCAUCUUCCCCAAUCUUCCGUGUGCACUAAGAAUUUUCUUUAACAUUUCUGUAAACGACAGUGCUAUUUACCUUUAAAAAUUCUUCGAGUACUUGUUUCUCAAUGGUCAGUGCUGUAGUACUACUUGGUUUGACUUUUUUUUUUCCAUCCAAUCAUGAGCGCUUAUUUUUUUUCAAGAUACAAAAAUACAAAUCAAGCCAUGACCUGAAGAAAACUCAAUACUGCUCCUCUACAUUAGUUUACAAUCUCCAAAACAGGAGUAGAACAACAAAAG